GGCUGGUUAGCUCAGAUGGUAGAGCGUGGCACUGACAACACCAAGGUCAAGGGUUCAGAUCCCCUUACUGGCCA